UACGUAGGGUGCAAGCGUUGUCCGGAAUUAUUGGGCGUAAAGAGCUCGUAGGCGGCUUGUCGCGUCGACUGUGAAAUCCCGCGGCUCAACUGCGGGUCUGCAGUCGAUACGGGCAGGCUAGAGUUCGGUAGGGGAGACUGGAAUUCCUGGUGUAGCGGUGAAAUGCGCAGAUAUCAGGAGGAACACCGGUGGCGAAGGCGGAUCUCUGGGCCGAUACUGACGCUGAGGAGCGAAAGCGUGGGGAGCGAACAGG
rnacentral:rRNA from 1 species